UACGUAGGGUGCAAGCGUUAAUCGGAAUUACUGGGCGUAAAGCGUGCGCAGGCGGUUAUGUAAGACAGAUGUGAAAUGCCCGGGCUUAACCUGGGAACUGCAUUUGUGACUGCAUGGCUAGAGUUUGGCAGAGGGGGGUAGAAUUCCACGUGUAGCAGUGAAAUGCGUAGAUAUGUGGAGGAACACCGAUGGCGAAGGCGGGUCUCUGGGCAGUAACUGACGCUGAGGAGCGAAAGCGUGGGGAGCGAACAGG
rnacentral:rRNA from 1 species